rnacentral:rRNA from 1 species
CCUACGGGUGGCAGCAGUGAGGAAUAUUGGUCAAUGGGCGCGAGCCUGAACCAGCCAAGUAGCGUGAAGGAUGACUGCCCUACGGGUUGUAAACUUCUUUUAUAAAGGAAUAAAGUGAGGCAUGUGUGCCUUUUUGUCUGUACUUUAUGAAGAAGGAUCGGCUAACUCCGUGCCAGCAGCCGCGGUAAUACGGAGGAUCCGAGCGUUAUCCGGAUUUAUUGGGGUUAAAGGGAGCGUAGAUGGGUUGUUAAGUCAGUUGUGAAAGUCUGCGGCUCAACCGUAAAAUUGCAAUUGAUACUGGAAGCCUUGAGUAUAGGUGAGGUAGGCGGAAUUCGUGGUGUAGCGGUGAAAUGCUUAGAUAUCACGAAGAACACUGAUUGCGAAGGCAGCUUACUAGACUGCAACUGACAUUGAUGCUCGAAAGUGUGGGUAUCAAACAGGAUUAGAUACCCGAGUAGUC